AUGAUAGAUUGUCCUGAAAUUGAGACUCCUGCCGUGAUAACCUGUGACCCACUGUCCCAGCCUUCCCCUCAGCUUGCAGACUUCACAGAGACGGAAACCACCUUGCAGCCAGCAAAUAAAGUCGAAAGUCUCCCAUCCGAGGAAACCUUUGAACCAAGCCAGGAACUCCCUGCUGAGACCAUCAGGGACCCCAGUCUGCAGGAUGCACUGGAGGUCGACCUGGCCGUCUCUGUUUCCCAGAUCUCCAUCGAAGAGAAGGUGAAGGAAUUGAGCCCAGAGGAAGAGAGGAGGAAGUGGGAGGAAGGCCGUAUCGACUACAUGGGGAAGGACGCGUUUGCCCGCAUCCAGGAGAAGCUGGACCGGUUCCUGCAGUAAUCCGGCAGCUGGCACCUUUCAGAUCAGGGUGGUUUGCCCUGCUUCAGGAGAGAAAGAUGAGAGGAAGGUCAGAGAGACCGUCCCGCUUCUGCUGUUUUCUCCAAUGCCAAGGGGCCAUGGUUUGGAGCGGCAUGUCCUGAAACCCCUCAUAAGCAACAGAAAUGAACCUGGAUUGCAUAAACAACACCAUCCAUGCAUGGUGAGUGUGUGGGGUCAUUCGGAGAGUAAGGAACAUGGAAGGGCUAGUGUUAUAAAAUGGCGGAAUCAAGAACCGCCUGUGGAAAGCAUGCAGCGGUGGCUUUAUGGGAUGACUGUGGUGAGAUGCUCAGGGUGAACAUGGGAGGAUCCAAGCCUGAGACCCUGGCUCCUCCUUGGCUUGGGUCGGGGGAGAGCAGAACACCUUGAUCUACUAUCCCACCUUGUCCCCUGUAGGGAAGUAGAAGAGCCAUAGCCACAUGAGGUGAUGUCACUAAGAGCGAGAUUGCUGUGUGACACCGCCACAUUCUCCCUUCCUGAUUCUCCAACCUGAUCAGAAUGUGGCUUUGUUCAUAGACUAAUGGCUAAAUUGGCAAAAUGCCCCAAGAUAUGGAGUUGCAAAAGAGCCAUGAUUGCUGUAGAAGCUGUGAUCUGCAAAGCACUGAGAGCAGACGCCUGGCUCAUGUCAAGCACUCAAUAAAUGUCACAACUGUACUCAUUAUUUUUUAUCCUGAGGCCACAUCCUGGCACAGGGAGAAGGGUGAUUAUCCAUUAUCCGAGGUCUAGCUGUGGGUUGGGAUGGCAGUGCAUUCGCUGUUUCUUAUGUUUCUACUCAGGAGGCUGAGGCAGGANAACUGCUUGAACCCACGAGGUGGAGGCUGCAGUGAGCCAAGAUCAUGCCACUGUACUCCAGCCUGGGCAACAAGAGUGAACAAAACUCCAUCUCAAAAAAAAAAAGAAAGAAAUUUUUGUUUUGUUUUGUUUUGUUUUUUUGAGAUGAAGCCUUGCUCUGUUGUCAGGCUGGAGGGCAGUGGUCCGAUCUCGGCUCCCUGCAACCUCCUCAUCCCGGGUUCCAGCGAUUCUCCUGCCUCAGCCUCCUGAGUAGCGCAGGCACGUGCCACCACGCUCAGCUAAUUUUUUUUUUUUUUUUUUUUUGAGACGGAGUCUCGCUCUGUUGCCCAGGCUGGAGCGCAGUGGUGCACUCUUGGCUCACUGCAAACUCCGCCUCCUUGGUUCAUGCCAUUCUCCUGCCUCAGCCUCCCGAGUAGCUGGGACUACAGGCCCCCACAACAACGCCCAGCUAAUUUUUUUGUAUUUUUAGUAGAGGCGGGGUUUCACUGUGUUAGCCAGCAUGGUCUCGAUCUCCUGACCUCGUGAUCCACCUUCCUCGGCCUCCCAAAGUGCUGGGAUUACAGGCGUGAGCCACCGUGCCCAGUCAAUUUUUGUAUUUUUUAGUAGAGACUGGGUUUCACCAUGUUGGCCAGGAUGGUCUCCAUCUCUUGACCUCGUGAUCUGCCUGCCUCGGCCUGCCAAAGUGCUGGGAUUACAGGCAUGAGCCACCCCAUGCCCGGCCGGAAUUUGGCAAACUCAAUCAAGUUUUUUAAUUUUUUUAUUAUUAUUAUUUUUAAUGGGUCAGGCUUUUGGUGUCUUAUCUAAAAAGUUUUCCUAACCCAAAAUGGAAAAGAUUUUCUCCUCUGUUUUCUUCUGCACGUGUUACAGAGUUCGCACUUACACUUGGGUCUCUGAUCACUUUGAGUUAAUUUUGGUGCAGGGUUUUCCAUUCAUGGAACAUGCAGUUGGAUUUCGAAUAGGUCAAUAUAUGAAAAAUUUCCCGCUGCAAAGUUAUUCUUUUCUUUUUUUCCCUUUUUGUUUGUUUGUUUGUUUUUUUUUGAGACUGUCACCCAGGCUGGAGUACAGUGGUACUCACAUGAUAAGCUCACUGCAGCCUUGACCUCUCAGGCUCAGGAGAUCCUCCCACCUCAGCCUCCCAAGUAGCUGAGACCACAAGUGUGCACCACCACACCUGCCUGAUUUUAUAUUUUUGUACAAACGGGGUCCCACUGUGUUGGCCAGGCUGGUCUCGAACUCCUGGGCUUGAGUGAUCCUUCCACCUCGGUCUCCCAAAGUGCUGGGAUGAUAAGCAUGAGCCACUGCACUCAGCCAGUUUCUAGUCUGGAUAUUUGAGUGGACUUCCCAGCCCCCACACAGCAUGCUCAUGCUCCAGCAGAGCUUUCGUGUAAGACUGUGAGAGUGCAAGGAGAGAAAGGGCAUGCCGCCAGCGUUGCAGCUUCUCGAGCUUCUCAGGGUCUCCUUCGUUCUGUUUCAUGGGUUGCACACCAAGAACGGCGAGAGGAAUCUUGGUUUCGGGGGCCUCAAACCAGACAUUGAGGAGGUGGGGGAGGCGGUUGCCACUCCGGUCCUUCAGUGCAUCCAGGCUGUCUAACUGGUUAGGCCACUUGCAAACGUGCAAACCUUAAGUAAAGAAACAGACCCUGGGAUCGGGGGGAGGUUUGAACUUUAACUAGCGCGUCAUAAAUCCCAGCCCUUAUCUCAAGAGUCGAAGACCGGACUUCAGGCAUCUCCCAAGAUAAAGGCAGGCCCGCUGCAAGGCAGCUGUAAGUCAGCUCUCCUCCACCCCUCUGGCUGGCCCCUCCUUAUCGGAGUCCUGCUUCCUUCCUCUUUAAAUCUGCAGACAACACUGCUGCUCUGCAGGUCUCUGCAUAUUCCCUCGGCUCACAGACUGGCUGCAUACUUGGUAUUUUCAGGGUUACGUUUGCAACACAUGACUGGGGAAAUGCAUGAAAAGAACAUGAUGCAAGAACUCAAUGCGGACACUUUUAGGUGAGGAGAUGUGACAAAAAGUCUCUGCCUGGCCAAACCGUAGCCAGGCUCCCGAAGCCCCUGCCAGGCCCGGUUGUGCGUUUCCCUAUAAAAUUAGAUUUCAGCAAAGUAACUGCUGAGACACUUUAGUGAGAAGCCGCCACGCUUGAUACCAGGUUCCUCAUCGCCCACCACCCCUGGGUGAUGUCUGACCCCCCCUGGUUGGCUUUAACAAGAAUUCUGUGAGGUUGGUUUAGCCAGAACCCGCUUCACCUCUGAUGUUUCCUUGUGCUUUGCCAUCUACACACCCGCUGCCUGCCCCGUGGCUGUACGUUCUCACUUGCCCUUGCUGUAUUCAUAUUGGACGUUGAGCCAGCCGCUCUCCUACACUGUGAACCCCCAUUGCAGUGGUCCCUGUACUUCACAUGCUAAGCCGGGAUAAUGUCUUCAUUAUCUUUUUGGUGAUGCUUUCACAAGUAUGAGGUUCGUGCAAAAGUAAUAACUGCAAUUACCAACCUAAUAUCACUGAAUAAUUUUUUUCUUUAACAAAGAUUUUGUUCCUGGACGAAUGAACGAGGGCUGGCUGCUUGUUCUUGGGGUUCAAUAAUGAGGUGCAGACAGAUUGGGGAGAAGGGAAUUUAUUUCUGCAACGGGUUACAGGGAGGUCAGAUUAACUCACCAGGUCAACUCAAAGUGACAAGUCGUUUCUCCAGGGUUUCUGUGCAUGUUAAGCUCUAUGCCCACGUGUAUGAUUGCGCCUAGGAGCCGGAGUAUUUCAGUCAGUCCCUAUCUAAUCUUUAACUAGGGUGUGGGGUCUGCGAAGUUUUCUCUAGACACUUAGAAAGUUUCUUAAUCUUCAGUGAGCCCUGUUAUGAGGUGUAUGUGUAAGAAUGCUUUUAUUAUUCGAUCCGAUUUUAGGGUCUGAGGAAGCUCAGGCAGGGCCUCAUAGAUUUGUUUUGGCAUUUUGGCCGUCCUUCCUCAGCACACUUUCUCCAGUUCUUUAAUGUUUAACUUAUGCAUUCACCAGAAUUAUAAUAAAGCGUUAGUGGAAAAACUGGUUGCUCCGGCUGCUGAUGGAAACCUGGCAUGCCACCAUUUGACUCAAAGGGAACCUAACUCUCAAGGCGCCAUAAUCUCAGCACUUUGGGAGGCCCAAGUGGAGGACUGCUUGUGCCCAGGUAUGCGAGACCAGCCUGGGCAACAUAGGGAGACCCCAUCUCUAUACAUUAAAAAAAAGUCAGGCAUGGUGGCAUGUGCCUGUUGCCUCAGCUACUCUGGAGGUUAAGGCUGGAGGAUCGCUUAAGCCUGGGAGUUGGAGGCUGCCGUGAGCUGUGAUUGUACCACAGCACUCCAGCCUGGGCAACAGAGCGAAACCCUGUCUCCAAAAACAAAACAAAACAAAAAACAAAAACAAAGAGCCAUACAAGAAAGUUUUAAAUAAUGUAUUUGUAAAAGCCCCAGUGGGGUUUUCUGCAGAAAUCCUGGGUGCUUAUAAGCCAGCCAGAACCUCUACCUUUAAAGCAUAUCUGUUCAUGUCAUAGGUCUUACAGGUGUGGAGGAAAGUUGAGGUUUUUAAAUUUAAAAAAAAUAAAAAAGAAGAUGAGCAGUUCUGAAUCUUCUUUUUUUUUUCUUUUGAGCAUGUUCUCUGGGUGGGGAAUGUGCUAUGGUUUUUGAAAACAAAGAAGAAAACACGUCGUUCUUCUAUUCCAGGUUCUCACAACGGCCUGGGGGAGUGUGAUUUAUUCUUUUUUAAUGGAUAGCAUGAAGGUGCUAUUUGCCCAAGUAGUGGGAUGGGGUGACCGUGGAGGCCAAGGACAGAGGGUGAGAUAUUCAGCCUGGAGAUGACCUUUAACCUCAAGGCUUUCUUCCUUUUAAAACGUUUGCUGUUUGUUUGG
rnacentral:lncRNA from 10 species